rnacentral:rRNA from 1 species
GCAAUCAUACCAGCACCAAUGCACCGGAUCCCAUCAGAACUCCGCAGUUAAGCGUGCUUGGGCGAGAGUAGUACUAGGAUGGGUGCCGCAGUGGGAAGUCCUCAUGUUUCACCC